rnacentral:rRNA from 1 species
UACGAAGGGGGCUAGCGUUGUUCGGAAUUACUGGGCGUAAAGCGCACGUAGGCGGAUACUUAAGUUAGGGGUGAAAUCCCGGGGCUCAACCCCGGAACUGCCUUUAAUACUGGGUAUCUCGAGUUCGAGAGAGGUGAGUGGAAUUCCGAGUGUAGAGGUGAAAUUCGUAGAUAUUCGGAGGAACACCAGUGGCGAAGGCGGCUCACUGGUCCAUUACUGACGCUGAGGUGCGAAAGCGUGGGGAGCAAACAGG